UUUAGGAAAAGCAAGGAAGCCCCCCCAUCCCUGUAUACCCACAUACUCCUUGUAUGUCUCUGCUCAGCCCAUAUUUGUUGCCUCUGCAGCUGGACACAAAACUGACCACACAGAAGAGUUGCAAAUAGAAAUGAAGAAGAUGCAAACGGACUUUGAGGAGAAACUGCUUGGUGCACGUGAUGGAGAGGAUGAAAGAAGAGCUCAAAGACACUGAGAGAGGAAUGGCUUCAGGCUCUUCCCUACCUGCAACUUCACUUCCAGGCAUUGCAGGGAACAUCCCAGCACCACAUCUCAUCCACUACCAGGGACUGUUUCUGGAGUCAUCCUACCAGCUUCUCCAUUCCCAGGAUGCUCUGACAUCCCACCAUCUCCACCAGGUGCACCUCGACUGCUUCCAUGGAGAUUAUCUCCAAAGAAGAUUCGCAACCAGCCAUACAACUGCAAAGACCACAGUGGACUAAGGAAUGUCCUUGAAAAAAAAGGAAAGUCUGGCCACAACCCUGGGAGCUGAUAAAUCCUGGUUCAACAGUGUCUGCUGAGGAGAAUGAAUGGGAAGAGCUCACCAGGUGUCCCUCCAGCAUCACAGAAUGAUUUGGAUUCAAAAGGUCCUCUGGACGUCUCGGAUCCACCCAUCCUGCUCCAACAAGUUGUCACAGAGAAUGCAAAGCGGCAUAAAAAGGAUGAUGCACCAUGUGAAGCUGGCAAAGGAGGUGGCAGAGAAGUAACACCAGGAGUGACAGCAGCAGGUUCCAGCUGGUGGACACGGAUGCAGAAGCAAGCAGGACCAACAAAGCUGGGGAGAAGACAAGAGAUGGAGGCAUCCUUGAGGAGAGCACCAGCUGCUCGAGCUAGAUGUUGCCUCUGGACAAAGGCAGAAAAUGCUGGACCUGUAAGAACUUUAGGUUGGGCUCCGGGACGCAAACCCAGUGGGGCAUGAACCGGAGGGAAUAACAGCGAGUGAGCGGCCACAGAUGGGCUUGUGGGACAAGGUAGGGACAUCCUCCCGCAGGGGAGGUUUGUGCUUGAAAGAGAAAAAUCCUGGUUGUAGGAGGGGAGAAGAAUUUCUUCGGUUCAGCCUCGGGUUGGGCAGGAUGGUCUAGGGACUCCCCGCACCCAAACAUGGGUGAACCAGGAACCAGGCUUGACCCCUUCCCCUGCCACCCACCAGCCAUGAGGGAGUGAAAAAAGGGCAGGUGGGACAAUUCAGGCAUCAGUCCCUCUGCCCUGUUGAUGGCCGGGGCAUCUCAGGGCUCCUUGCAGGGCUGAGAGCUGCAUUACCCUCGCAGCAGGGUGGUGGCGGCCUCUGCCAAAUGCUUUUAGCAGCCCUGGAAAGCUGCAAAAUGAAAGAGAAAUGAGGAUACGUGAGCUGCACCCAGGCCAGCCUGGAGCCUUGCCCAAGAGCUUUUAUUUUCUGGUAACAGUUCCUUUGAUAUAAAGCCUUUUUUCAUGGCUUUGCAGCUGUGGGCCAGUGACGCUCUGGUAGCAUCGCGUUACCAUGACAGUUUUUAUAUACAAAAGAUGGAGAAAUAAACAUUAAUUUUGGUACA
rnacentral:lncRNA from 1 species